rnacentral:rRNA from 1 species
AUUGAACGCUGGCGGCAGGCCUAACACAUGCAAGUCGAGCGGAUGAAGGGAGCUUGCUCCUGGAUUCAGCGGCGGACGGGUGAGUAAUGCCUAGGAAUCUGCCUGGUAGUGGGGGAUAACGUCCGGAAACGGGCGCUAAUACCGCAUACGUCCUGAGGGAGAAAGAGGGGGAUCUUCGGACCUCACGCUAUCAGAUGAGCCUAGGUCGGAUUAGCUAGUUGGUGGGGUAAAGGCCUACCAAGGCGACGAUCCGUAACUGGUCUGAGAGGAUGAUCAGUCACACUGGAACUGAGACACGGUCCAGACUCCUACGGGAGGCAGCAGUGGGGAAUAUUGGACAAUGGGCGAAAGCCUGAUCCAGCCAUGCCGCGUGUGUGAAGAAGGUCUUCGGAUUGUAAAGCACUUUAAGUUGGGAGGAAGGGCAUUAAGUUAAUACCUUGCUGUUUUGACGUUACCAACAGAAUAAGCACCGGCUAACUUCGUG